rnacentral:siRNA from 1 species
ACCCAUCUCCUUGAACCACUCCGG